rnacentral:rRNA from 1 species
AUGGACAGCCUAGAGGGCUGCAUCAAAUCCAGAUGGAACGUCUACGGGUACGACUGGGAGAUCCACCUGUAUACCGCAGGGUUGCCUGGCCACCAUUCCAUGUACUUUUCGUGCAUAUGGGUGAAGCUCUUCUUCCUCGGUGAAGCCCGGACGCGCAACGUGAAGGCUACUCUGGGCUGUCGCCUGGUCGAUCCGAGGGGGAAGCUUAAACCAUCCGAAGAGAAGAGGCGUGUUGGAACAUUCAAGAAUCCGCAUGACACCUCGUCUACGUUAUCGCUCAUUGAAACAAGCGCUCUAGAAGGGUCGGGCUAUCUCAGGGAUGAUUCAUUCACAGUGCAGUGCACCAUCACCGUGCUGAAGGAAAUUCCAGAUCCGGCAGCUAUCUCGGUUAGAGACAUGGAUGUGCCGCCCUCCAACUUACACGAGCACCUCGGCGAGCUCCUGAGGAGCGGGACCGGAGCGGACGUCACGUUUCUUGUCGCCGGCGAGUCCUUCGCCGCGCACAAGGCCAUACUUGCUGCAAGGUCCCCCGUUCUCAUGGCCGGGUUCUUCGGAGAGAUGAAAGAGAGGAGCUCUGGACGCGCUGAGGUCAAGGACAUGGAGGCAGCGGCCUUCAAGGCCACGCUGCACUUCGUCUACACCGACACGGUGCCUGAACUUGCUGAUGAGACGGAGACGGUUAUGGUUAUGGCUCAGCAUCUGCUUGCUGCUGCUGACAGGUUCGGGCUGGACAGGCUCAAGCUGAUUUGUGAAGGCAGGCUCUCUGGUGGCAUCAGCGUCGACACGGCAGCGACCACUCUGGCUCUAGCGGAGCAGCAUAGCUGUUCCUUGCUCAAGGCAAAGUGUUUGGAGUUUAUAGUCAGAACUCCGGCAACUCUAAGUGCGGUCAUGGCGACGGACGGGUAUCAGCACCUAGAGGCAAGCUGCCCCUCGGUGCUGCGCGAGCUUCUCAAGUCCGCCCGUGGCAGAAAGCGU